rnacentral:ncRNA from 2 species
UCCAUCCACUCGUCAGCAUGGUCGUCACCUCUGGGUGGCGCUAAGAGGGAAUGAGGUGCGGGCGCUUUGCCCAAGUCCUUGACUGCCCCCGCAACUGUAAGCGGAGCGCUGGCACCAUAGAGGCCACUGAGCGCAAUUGCGUUUGGGAAGGCUGGUGCCAACAUCAAUCCGCAAGUCAGGAGACCUGCCUGCUGAUCAAAUUCGAU